GGCAGCACGAGAGCUUGCUCUUGGUGGCGAGUGGCGAACGGGUGAGCUAAUAUAUCGGAACGUAUCCAAUAAUGGGGGAUAACUAAUCGAAAGGUUGGCUAAUACCGCAUACGCCCUACGGGGGAAAGCAGGGGAUCUUCGGACCUUGCGUUAAUGGAGCGGCUGAUAUCUGAUUAGCUAGUAGGUGAGGUAAAGGCUCACCUAGGCUUCGAUCAGUAGCUGGUCUGAGAGGACAGACCAGCCACACUGGAACUGAGACACGGUCCAGACUCCUAC
rnacentral:rRNA from 1 species